AGUCGUUCGUACACACAAAACUCUUAUACCAUGGCGGUCACAACAGAUUAGAGGAACUCGCUUCAUAAUCGACAAUACCCGUUAAUUUUCACUUACUAUUUUAAUAAAACCUAUAUACCGCCGUUACAGAACACGCCAAAACGCAAAGCUCAUAAUAGCUCAGCUAAAAAAUCAGGUCAAGGUGUAGUUCAUAAGUAAGAGUAAGUAAGUUACAUUAAGAUAAAAUUAAGGAAGUAUUUACAAAUAAAUAACAGAAAAAGAAUCUAACUAUACAAAUUAGCCAAAAACUUA
rnacentral:rRNA from 1 species